GAACGGUAGCACAGAGGAGCUUGCUCCUUGGGUGACGAGUGGCGGACGGGUGAGUAAUGUCUGGGAAACUGCCCGAUGGAGGGGGAUAACUACUGGAAACGGUAGCUAAUACCGCAUAACGUCGCAAGACCAAAGAGGGGGACCUUCGGGCCUCUUGCCAUCGGAUGUGCCCAGAUGGGAUUAGCUAGUUGGUGGGGUAAAGGCCUACCAAGGCGACGAUCUGUAGCGGGUCUGAGAGGAUGAUCCGCCACACUGGGACUGAGACACGGCCCAGACUCCUACGGGAGGCAGCAGUGGGGAAUAUUGGACAAUGGGGGGAACCCUGAUCCAGCCAUGCCGCGUGUGUGAAGAAGGCCUUAUGGUUGUAAAGCACUUUAAGCGAGGAGGAGGCUACUGAGACUAAUACUCUUGGAUAGUGGACGUUACUCGCAGAAUAAGCACCGGCUAACUCUGUGCCAGCCGCCGCGGUA
rnacentral:rRNA from 1 species